rnacentral:rRNA from 1 species
GUGGGGAAUAUUGUGCAAUGGGCGAAAGCCUGACCCAGCAACGCCGCGUGAAGGAAGAAGGUUUUCGGAUCGUAAACUUCUAUCCUUGGUGAAGAUAAUGACGGUAGCCAAGAAGGAAGCCCCGGCUAACUACGUGCCAGCAGCCGCGGUAAUACGUAGGGGGCAAGCGUUGUCCGGAAUGAUUGGGCGUAAAGGGCGCGUAGGCGGCCUGGUAAGUCUGGAGUGAAAGUCCUGCUUUUAAGGUGGGAAUUGCUUUGGAUACUGUCUGGCUUGAGUGCAGGAGAGGUAAGUGGAAUUCCCGGUGUAGCGGUGAAAUGCGUAGAGAUCGGGAGGAACACCAGUGGCGAAGGCGACUUACUGGACUGUAACUGACGCUGAGGCGCGAAAGUGUGGGGAGCAAACAGGAUUAGAAACCCCAGUAGUCC